CACCUAAAUAUUCUCAAGACCACCUAUUGACUAAAAUCUAUUAAAAUUUACGGCUUGAUAGAAAUUUCUUGCCAAAUUACGAUUCCAAUAAAAUAGGAAACAUAUCUCCUUCAAAAUCAUAAAUUCAAAAUCACAAAGAUUCUCUCAACUUGCUCACAACGAUUUCUUUCAAAUUCAAAACAAAAAAUUGUUUUUAACUCAAUUGAUUACAUAAAAUUGCUUUGAUCAAUCACUGUUCUUAGAAAUCAAUCGGAUUUUAAGAAGAAAAAAAAACAGGACAAUGGUGGUUAUUAAUGAAAGCAUUCAACGGCGACGGACGGAAAUGGUGGGUUUUAGGGUUGGAACUGAUAACUCAAUCAUCUGAAUUGGAGGAGACCCGCAUCCGUUUCCGGCCAAUCGUGGGUACAACGGAUAACAACAUCAUCAUCAUCGUGAUCCUUAUGUAAAUAUGCAAAGACCCGAGCAAUUUCAGACAGUCGCCGCAAUUGUCCUCAUCAGGUUGAUUUUCCGGUGAAGAUAUUCCUUGCACUAUUUGAUGUUAGCGCAGGUUUGAAAUGGUAAUUUAAUGGCCAGGCAUGAGUUUCCAUAUCUCAUAAGGUAUUGGCAGUGGGAGUUAAGGAGAGAAGAAGUGAAUUUAUGUACAAAUGAUAAAUUGACAAUAUAUAAUGGAGAAUUGAGUUAUGGAUUUUUUGUAAAUUGUAGGAAUAUGAAAGAUGCACAAUAAGUGUUUGAUAUAA